UCUCUCCUUUCCAUGCUUGCCAUGUGACUCAGCAACUGCUCGAUCCUUGGACUUCCAUUCUAGAGCUCCUACUGAACAUUGUUGGGAGUUGGACUGCAGGCUUGACCGGAGGCCCAUCACAGCAGAAGAGAACAAAGCACUUUAACCUUUAAAGACACAGAAUUCAACAGCUUGCAGUUGUAGUUCCUGCCCAAUGGUUUCUUUUGUUCAGUGGACCGUUAGUAAAAUUCGUGGGAAAAGUUGGACUGAGAAUGGGCAGAGAAGGAGCACCCUCCAGGACCUCGUGCUCAAGAGAUUCAGAGGGAGUACCCUCAAGGACCUUGUGCUCAAGAGACUCAGAGGGAGCACCCCCAAGAACUUCGUGCUCAAGAGAUUCAGAGGGAGCACCUUCCAGGACUUCAUGCUCAAGAAACUCAGAGGGAGCACCCUCCAGGACCUCAUGCUCAGGAGACUCAGAGGGAGCACCCUCCAGGACCUCGUGCUCAAGAGAUUCAGAGGGAGCACCCUCAAGGACCUUGUGCUCAAGAUACUCAGAGGGAGCACCCUCAAGAACUUCGUGCUCAAGAGACUCAGAGGGAGCACCUUCCAGGACUUCGUGCUCAGGAGACUCAGAGGGAGCACCCUCCACAGACUCAUGCUCAGGAAACUCAGAGGGUGCUCCCUCCAUGACCUCCUGCUGAGGAGACUCAGAGGGAGCACCCUCCAAGACUUCAUGAUCAGGAGACUCAGAGGGAGCACCCUCCAAGACCUCAUGCUUAAGAGGAAUAUGGUGAUUGAACCAUAUAUCAAGGUAGAACCGUGAGUCUGGUACUGUAGGAGCCAGCCGACACCUUCCCAUCCACUCAGGAAGCCAGCCUGCUCUGUCACGUCACCCCAAUGUCUCUACCAAACAUUUCAGGAAGACAAAGAAAAAUCUGUCUCUUCUGGCCAAGAUUUGAUUGGCAAGCCCAGUUUCUCUAUUUUUUUGUCAGUGCUUCCCAACUUAGGAUCAAUCAGAAAAGGCCAAAUAUGUUCCACAAACCAAUCAUGUAGGAGCUCUGCUUAAACCUACCGCCUUCAUCUUCCCGGUGACAAAGGCUUCCAAUCCUGCCCUUCCCUAUUUCCACUGUGCAGUGUUCCAGUUCCUAACCUAUUUUCAACACUGUGCCAUAGCAAAUGUUGAUAAUGGAGAUAACACUACCUCCCAAGGCAUAGUGAGCUAGGAACAAACAGCCAGAACCUACUCUAUCUUGGGUGAUCGUCAUUUCCUUAGUAACUGCAAGAAAAUUGUAGAAUUGAGAAUGAAACUG
rnacentral:lncRNA from 1 species